rnacentral:rRNA from 1 species
UACAGAGGUCCCGAGCGUUGUUCGGAUUCAUUGGGCGUAAAGGGUGCGUAGGCGGCGGGGCAAGUCUGAUGUGAAAUCCUGGGGCUCAACCCUGGAACUGCAUUGGAUACUUCCUUGCUAGAGUACUGGAGAGGAAACUGGAAUUUACGGUGUAGCAGUGAAAUGCGUAGAGAUCGUAAGGAAGACCAGUGGCGAAGGCGGGUCUCUGGACAGUUCCUGACGCUGAUGCGCGAAAGCGUGGGGAGCAAACGGG